UGCCUCCUUAGCUUAGUGGUAGAGCGUUGCACUUGUAAUGCAAAGGUCGCUAGUUCAAUUCUGGCAGGGGGCAA
rnacentral:tRNA from 1 species